rnacentral:rRNA from 1 species
UACGUAGGGUCCGAGCGUUGUCCGGAAUUACUGGGCGUAAAGAGCUCGUAGGUGGUUUGUCGCGUUGUCCGUGAAAACUCACAGCUCAACUGUGGGCGUGCGGGUGAUACGGGCAGACUGGAGUACUGCAGGGGAGACUGGAAUUCCUGGUGUAGCGGUGGAAUGCGCAGAUAUCAGGAGGAACACCGGUGGCGAAGGCGGGGUCUCUGGGCAGUAACUGACGCUGAGGAGCGAAAGCGUGGGGAGCGAACAGG